GAUGAACGCUGGCGGCGUGCCUAAUACAUGCAAGUCGAGCGAACGGACGAGAAGCUUGCUUCUCUGAUGUUAGCGGCGGACGGGUGAGUAACACGUGGAUAACCUACCUAUAAGACUGGGAUAACUUCGGGAAACCGGAGCUAAUACCGGAUAAUAUUUUGAACCGCAUGGUUCAAAAGUGAAAGACGGUCUUGCUGUCACUUAUAGAUGGAUCCGCGCUGCAUUAGCUAGUUGGUAAGGUAACGGCCUACCAAGGCAACGAUGCAUAGCCGACCUGAGAGGGUGAUCGGCCACACUGGAACUGAGACACGGUCCAGACUCCUACGGGAGGCAGCAGUAGGGAAUCUUCCGCAAUGGGCGAAAGCCUGACGGAGCCACGCCGCGUGAGUGAUGAAGGUCUUCGGAUCGUAAAGCUCUGUUAUUAGGAAAGAACAUAUGUGUAAGUAACUGUGCACAUCUUGACGGUACCUAAUCAGAAAGCCACGGCUAACUACGUG
rnacentral:rRNA from 1 species